CCCGCUGAACUUAAGCAUAUCAAUAAGCGGAGGAAAAGAAACUAACAAGGAUUCCCCUAGUAACUGCGAGUGAAGCGGGAAAAGCUCAAAUUUAAAAUCUGGCAGUUUUUGACUGUCCGAGUUGUAAUCUAGAGAAGUGUUACCUGUGCUGGACCAUGUACAAGUCUUCUGGAAUGGAGCAUCAUAGAGGGUGAGAAUCCCGUCUUUGACAUGGACUACCUGUACACUAUGGUGCGCUCUCAAGGAGUCGAGUUGUUUGGGAAUGCAGCUCAAAAUGGGUGGUAAAUGCCAUCUAAAGCUAAAUAUUGGCGAGAGACCGAUAGCGAACAAGUACCGUGAGGGAAAGAUGAAAAGAACUUUGGAAAGAGAGUUAAACAGUACGUGAAAUUGCUGAAAGGGAAACGCUUGAAGUCAGUCGCAUUGGCUAGAAAUCAGCUGUGCUUUUGCUCAGUGUACUUUCUGGUCGAUGGGUCAGCAUCAAUUUUGACCAUCGGAUAAAGUUGCUGGGAAUGUAGCAUCCUUUUGGAUGUGUUAUAGCCUGGUGAUGCAUACAGUGGUUGGGAUUGAGGAAUUCAGCACGCCACCAGGCCGGGUUUUGACCACGUUCGUGCUUAGGAUGCUGGCAUAAUGGCUUUAAUUGACCCGUCUUGAAACACGG
rnacentral:rRNA from 1 species